rnacentral:rRNA from 1 species
CCUACGGGUAGCAGCAGUGAGGAAUAUUGGUCAAUGGCCGGAAGGCUGAACCAGCCAAGCCGCGUGAAGGACGAAAGUGCCAAGCAUUGUAAACUUCUUUUGUCAAGGGACAAAAUCAGGCUCGAGAGCCUGUCCGUGGGUACUUGAAGAAAAAGCAUCGGCUAACUCCGUGCCAGCAGCCGCGGUAAUACGGAGGAUGCGAGGGUUAUCCGGAUUUAUUGGGUUUAAAGGGUGCGUAGGCGGGUCGUUAAGUCAGCGGUAAAAGCCCGGGGCUCAACCCUGGCGAGCCGUUGAAACUGGGUGUCUUGAGUUUGCGAGAGGUAUGUGGAAUGCGCGGUGUAGCGGUGAAAUGCUUAGAUAUUGCGCAGAACUCCGAUUGCGAAGGCAGCAUACCGGCGG